GAUGAACGCUGGCGGCGUGCCUAAUACAUGCAAGUCGAGCGAACGGACGAGAAGCUUGCUUUUCUGAUGUUAGCGGCGGACGGGUGAGUAACACGUGGAUAACCUACCUAUAAGACUGGGAUAACUUCGGGAAACCGGAGCUAAUACCGGAUAAUAUUUUGAACCGCAUGGUUCAAAAGUGAAAGACGGUCUUGCUGUCACUUAUAGAUGGAUCCGCGCUGCAUUAGCUAGUUGGUAAGGUAACGGCUUACCAAGGCAACGAUGCAUAGCCGACCUGAGAGGGUGAUCGGCCACACUGGAACUGAAACACGGUCCAGACUCCUACGGGAGGCAGCAGUAGGGAAUCUUCCGCAAUGGGCGAAAGCCUGACGGAGCAACGCCGCGUGAGUGAUGAAGGUCUUCGGAUCGUAAAACUCUGUUAUUAGGGAAGAACAGAUGUGUAAGUAACUGUGCACAUCUUGACGGUACCUAAUCAGAAAGCCACGGCUAACUACGUG
rnacentral:rRNA from 1 species